rnacentral:rRNA from 1 species
AUUGAACGCUGGCGGCAUGCUUUACACAUGCAAGUCGAACGGUAACAGGUUAAGCUGACGAGUGGCGAACGGGUGAGUAAUGCAUCGGAACGUGCCCGGUCGUGGGGGAUAACGCAGCGAAAGCUGCGCUAAUACCGCAUACGAUCUGAGGAUGAAAGCGGGGGACCGUAAGGCCUCGCGCGAUCGGAGCGGCCGAUGUCAGAUUAGGUAGUUGGUGGGGUAAAGGCUCACCAAGCCAACGAUCUGUAGCUGGUCUGAGAGGACGACCAGCCACACUGGGACUGAGACACGGCCCAGACUCCUACGGGAGGCAGCAGUGGGGAAUAUUGGACAAUGGGGGCAACCCUGAUCCAGCGACGCCGCGUGUGUGAAGAAGGCCUGCGGGUUGUAAAGCACUUUUAGUGGGGAUGAAAAGCUCAGGGCUAAUACCCUUGAGUCUUGACCUAACCCAAAGAAAAAGCACCGGCUAACUCUGUGCCAGCCGCCGCGGUAA